ACGGCCUGCCGCGGAGAGACUCCCUCCCUACCCCAUUCACCCGGAGGUGGGACAAGGCGGCUACGCCCCUCCCGGCCGAAUGAAGCUGCAUUUCCCCGGAGGCGGGGUCUGUGCAGCCCUGCCUGCGCAUCCCGAGGCGUGAAGGGCCUAAGGCUGGUCGACCUGCCUUCUCCUGGGCUUGAGGCCGGAAGCCGUCCGUGGACUUCUGGGCCCCGCGGCGGGGGGCGGGGGUCUGGAGGUCGCGUUGCCUGACCUCGGGCUUAACACCCGGAAUCCUGCGUCCCCCCAGGCUCCACCUCCAUCUGGGACACCCGACUGUGUGGGUCGGAAAAGGCCCUUCACCGUCUCUGGACCUAGGUCGUCUCAUCAGUAAAAUAGGGUUAAAGGGAGACCUCAAGGGAGGACGCAGCGUACCACGGUGAAUGAACGUACGCUCCGACUGAACUCUGCCUGUUUAACGAUCAGUUCUAGAAAUCCUUCUCAGCCACGCUUUCCCUGAAUCCGCAGUGGAGCUUUUCAUUUCCCUGCAGCUAACUCAGCCGCACUUAUCCCGCAUUUUAUCUCUUUCUACCUUUUAUUUCUUCCUUCCCCUUUCUACCUCACGGGUCUCUAGAUGAGGUGCUGUGAAUAGGACUUAAGUUGAAUAUUUGAUCUCCCACUCCCCAGCACAGCUUACCCAGCAGUGAUUCUCGGCCCGGCCUGCGCAAUCGGAUCGCCUUGGAGCACCUAAAAAAAUACUGGUGCUUGGGCCCUACCCCAAACCAAUUCAACCAAAAUCUCCUACAGUGGACCUGUGUGUCGGUAUCGUUGUUUUGUUUUGUUUUGCAGAGCUCUCCAGUUGAGUCAGGAUUGAGAAUUACAGCCCAAGAGGCUCUUGUCUUUUCAGGCCAAAGUGGUUGACCUCUGUGAAGGCUUUCUGGCUAUGGAAAAAUUUUCCUCCUUGCUUAGGCCAAGGGCAACAAAACUCCUAAUUAGUAGAAGCCUGCUGUAGUUCAUCUAAGUUCCAGCCAGAGGGGAAAAUGGAGUUGGAUCUAGAGACAAUGCCGAAAUGGCAUCAUUCUUGGCGCCUUUCACCAAGAUGACGUUGGUACAAUUAGUGAGAUGCAGCACACCACCCUUUGCCUCUGGAAGAGAAACCAGACUGCAGAGGGGACUGAGUACAGAAGCUAACGGAACUCAGAAGGACAAGACAAAAAAGCGUAAAUGCACCCCACUGGGCAGUGCUUGGAGUCCCCUCUGCAGACCCCACAUCUUCAAAAUUUCCAGUUUUCUUUUUCACCAUUGAGAGAAUCCCAGAGGCUCUUGACAACAUGGAAUCCUUCUGUGAAAAUCCCACUGCCCUUCUAUCAAGUCUUCAUUGACCGUAUCAAAAAACUUAAACUCAAAUUUAUGAAAAGCAGUCACUGUUUCCCUUUGGCCACAGGAAAGCUUGAGAGUGAAGACUGUCAUGUCUGCAAAGUGCUGGCAACACAUUCUGAUCAAUUUUCCAUGAUGCACUUGGUGCUUUAUACACAGUAAAUGACCAAGAAAUGUUUCAUUAAUUGAAUCAGAAAAUAAAUAGAAGUAUUCUAUAAAGUGCUUACAUUGAACCUGUCUUUCCAUCCAGCCUCGUUUCUUGCUAAGUCUCCCUUGAGCCUUUUGCUCAUUACAAUGAAUUACAUGCAGUUCCUUAAGAUGCCCAUGCUGUUUCAUGCUUCUGUGUCUUAGCUCAGUGUGUCCUCUGCCUGAAGCAGCUUGGACACCCCUACUUAAUUUCUAAGACUUAGCUUAGGGCCACUUUUCCUACAAUGCCUUUCUUGACCCCAUUCUUACACCUCUGUAAACUAAUAGUACCCCCCAAAAUAUCUAUUCCUUUUUUUUUGUUUCCACAUGUCUUCCUCUAAUUGCUUCUGUGAGUUCUGUCAGGACAGAAAGUGUUUGGCUGACCUGUACCUCCGCAGUACCUGGCACUUAGUUGGUACCUAGCAGAUAGUUUCAGUGGAUGAAUAUACAUAUUGCAAUCACACAGAACUGGAGGGAUGAAAAGUACUUAUUGCUAUACAUUUAAAUACGAUCUCAUUCUGAGGUUACAGUUUACCUCAAUCUGUUUUAUAUGUAAUCAUGCUAUCAAGAGUAAAUAAAUAAAAUUUUAGUUUUCCUCA